rnacentral:rRNA from 1 species
UACGGAGGGGGCAAGCGUUGUUCGGAAUCAUUGGGCGUAAAGGGCGCGUAGGCGGUUCUGUAUGUCUACCGCGAAAGCAUACAGCUCAACUGUAUUUUGUCGGUAGAAACUGCAGGACUUGAGGCUGGGAGGGGCUGGUGGAAUUCCCUGUGUAGCGGUGAAAUGCGUAGAGAUGGGGGAGAACACUCGUGGCGAAGGCGGCCAGCUAGACCAGUUCUGACACUGAGGCGCGACAGCGUGGUGAGCAAACAGG